UCCCAGAGGAGGACUGGCUGGAGGUGAGA
rnacentral:piRNA from 1 species